rnacentral:rRNA from 1 species
GCUGGGUGGAUUAGUGGCGAACGGGUGAGUAACACGUGAGUAACUUGCCCUGGAUUCUGGGAUAAGCGUUGGAAACGACGUCUAAUACCGGAUAGGACCUUGGACCGCAUGGUUUGGGGUGGAAAGUUUUUUCGGUCUGGGAUGGACUCGCGGCCUAUCAGCUUGUUGGUGAGGUAAUGGCUCACCAAGGCGUCGACGGGUAGCCGGCCUGAGAGGGUGACCGGCCACACUGGGACUGAGACACGGCCCAGACUCCUACGGGAGGCAGCAGUGGGGAAUAUUGCACAAUGGGCGAAAGCCUGAUGCAGCAACGCCGCGUGCGGGAUGACGGCCUUCGGGUUGUAAACCGCUUUUAGUAAGGAAGAAGGGGAGCUUGCUCCUUGACGGUACUUGCAGAAAAAGGACCGGCUAACUACGUGCCAGCAGCCGCGGUAAUACGUAGGGUCCGAGCGUUGUCCGGAAUUAUUGGGCGUAAAGAGCUCGUAGGCGGUUUGUCGCGUCUGCUGUGAAAUCUGGAGGCUCAACCUCCAGCCUGCAGUGGGUACGGGCAGACUAGAGUGCGGUAGGGGAGAAUGGAAUUCCUGGUGUAGCGGUGGAAUGCGCAGAUAUCAGGAGGAACACCGAUGGCGAAGGCAGUUCUCUGGGCCGUAACUGACGCUGAGGAGCGAAAGCGUGGGGAGCGAACAGGAUUAGAUACCCUGGUAGUCCACGCCGUAAACGUUGGGCGCUAGAUGUGGGGACCUUUCCAC